CUGAAAUAUGGCACACGGUCUGGCAGUCUGCAACAGGACACCAUGUCCGGAGGGGGUCCAUGUGAACCUCUGAAACAUAAAGGAGGAAACGACCAACAAGUAUGGCAAUAAUAGCAGCAAGGGAGUGGCCAUUUCCAUGAUUGACAGUCUUCCUGAUGGGUCCAAGCCUGUUAUCUACUGUCCAGAGCAUAAGGUCAUCGCUGCCACAUUCUCAAGCCUGGAUAUUCUAGAGCUGUGCAUUCCCAGACUUCCUGCAGUGGAGGUUUGGCGUGGGAUAUGACUCCAACCAACAGGACGAUAAGGAGAGACCUUACCUUACCACAGGGCUUCUAGGACAAGGCCUGGUCCCCAGUGCCAUCCGUCUGCCUCCUUUUGUCCACAGGUAUGUGAAGUUAAGGCACUGGGACAGGCACAAGGAUCUGGGGACUCUCAGGAAAAGCUAAGCCAUUU